AGAGUUUGAUCCUGGCUCAGGAUGAACGCUGGCGGCGUGCUUAACACAUGCAAGUCGAACGAUCCUUCGGGAUAGUGGCGGACGGGUGAGUAACGCGUGGGAAUCUGCCCUUAGGAGGGGGAUAACGGCUGGAAACGGCCGCUAAUACCCCAUAUGCCGAGAGGUGAAACGAAUUUCGCCUGAGGAUGAGCCCGCGUCUGAUUAGCUAGUUGGUGGGGUAAAGGCCUACCAAGGCGACGAUCAGUAGCUGGUCUGAGAGGAUGAUCAGCCACACUGGGACUGAGACACGGCCCAGACUCCUAUGGGAGGCAGCAGUGGGGAAUUUUCCGCAAUGGGCGAAAGCCUGACGGAGCAACGCCGCGUGAGGGAUGAAGGCCUCUGGGCUGUAAACCUCUUUUCUCAAGGAAGAAGAACUGACGGUACUUGAGGAAUAAGCCACGGCUAAUUCCGUGCCAGCAGCCGCGGUAAUACGGGAGUGGCAAGCGUUAUCCGGAAUUAUUGGGCGUAAAGCGUCCGCAGGCGGCCUUGUAAGUCUGUUGUUAAAGCGUGGAGCUCAACUCCAUUUAAGCAAUGGAAACUACAAGGCUGGAGUGUGGUAGGGGCAGAGGGAAUUCCCGGUGUAGCGGUGAAAUGCGUAGAUAUCGGGAAGAACACCAGUGGCGAAGGCGCUCUGCUGGGCCAUAACUGACGCUCAUGGACGAAAGCCAGGGGAGCGAAAGGGAUUAGAUACCCCUGUAGUCCUGGCCGUAAACGAUGAACACUAGGUGUCGGGGGAAUCGACCCCCUCGGUGUCGUAGCCAACGCGUUAAGUGUUCCGCCUGGGGAGUACGCACGCAAGUGUGAAACUCAAAGGAAUUGACGGGGGCCCGCACAAGCGGUGGAGUAUGUGGUUUAAUUCGAUGCAACGCGAAGAACCUUACCAGGGUUUGACAUCCUGCGAAUCCCUUGGAAACGAGGGAGUGCCUUCGGGAGCGCAGUGACAGGUGGUGCAUGGCUGUCGUCAGCUCGUGUCGUGAGAUGUUGGGUUAAGUCCCGCAACGAGCGCAACCCACGUCUUUAGUUGCCAGCAUUCAGUUGGGCACUCUAGAGAGACCGCCGGUGAUAAACCGGAGGAAGGUGUGGAUGACGUCAAGUCAUCAUGCCCCUUACAUCCUGGGCUACACACGUACUACAAUGCUACGGACAAAGGGCAGCAAGCUCGCGAGAGUUAGCAAAUCCCAUAAACCGUGGCUCAGUUCAGAUCGUAGGCUGCAACUCGCCUACGUGAAGGAGGAAUCGCUAGUAAUCGCAGGUCAGCAUACUGCGGUGAAUACGUUCCCGGGCCUUGUACACACCGCCCGUCACACCAUGGAAGUUGGCCAUGCCCGAAGUCG
rnacentral:rRNA from 1 species